rnacentral:lncRNA from 1 species
GAGGCCAGGUCACACCAUUGUACUCCAGCCUGGGCGACAGAGCAAGACUAAGUCUCCAAAAAAAAAAAAAAAAAAAUGCAGGAACUCUGGAGCUCCACAGCUGGGUUUGAAUCUUGACUCUGCCUUUCAUGAACUAUGUGACUUUGAGCGCAUAGACCAUCUUCGCCUCCACUUCCACGCACAGCCAGUCUGAGAUCUCCCGGAUCUCGUGAACACACCUGAUCAUGGCUGACAAGGUCCCAGUAGAUAAUCAUGAUGGCGGCCGAUGGCAGCUAAAGGGAGACGACCAGUGGCGCUGCCUUCUAGGAGCCCGGAGCUUGGAGCUGCGCUCAUGGGGAGCGGGGGCGGGGCCUUGCUUAAAUUUCAAACAAAAAAAGGAUCAAACCAAAAAUAAAAGAAAAUAGAGGGAAAUGUAGACUAUCUUUGUGCAUUUUAAAUAUACAUAAAAUCUCCAACAUGGAUAAAGAUGUUAUUCGAUU